AUGGAGAUUUCCCAAGAAUUUUCGACAAUUUCUCCCCAAAAUUCCUGCCUGGUGGGGCACGAGCGGCUGCCGCUGCGGCUGGCGCAGAAAUCGCUGCACAAGGCGGCCGGUAAACCCACAAACGUCAACGUUUCGUUGAUUCUGAGCGACUCUGCCACCCAAAAAACCCCAUUUUUCCCCAAGAAACGUCCAUUUUUUUCCCAAAAUCGCCGCUUUUUCACCCAAAAAACCCGGUUUUCCCACUCAAAAUCAGCAAUUUCUCCCCAAAAUUCCUGCCUGGUGGGGCACGAGCGGCUGCCGCUGCGGCUGGCGCAGAAAUCGCUGGACAAGGCGGCCGCGCUGGUGGCGGGGGCGGCGCUGGAGGAGGACGAGGAGCUGCAGAACCUUUGGGCCACGGCCUCGACCUUCAUCGUCCUCUUCAUCCUCAGCCUCUUCUACAGCGCCACCGUCACCCUCAUCAAGGGUGACGCCGGCGCCGUAGAAGAGGCUGAGGAGGAAGAGGAGGAGGAAGGUGCCGAAGGUCCAAAGGUCGGAAUUUUCCGGGUCCCGUUCGGGCUCCAGCGGCAGCGGCAGCGCCACGAAAGUCGGGGGAAAAUCUGGGGGAAAAAAGGGGGAAAUUGGGCAAAAAGGGGAAAAAAAAUACUCGGGAAAAAUCCGCACGACGUCGGUGUCGGCCAGCACCACGGACACGUUGACGUUGUUGGGCCGCGCCGACCACCGGUCCACGUUCCUCUGCAGGAACUUCACUCCUCCCACGGCCUCGUGUCCCACCACGCACCCGAAGGCGUUUGA